rnacentral:lncRNA from 1 species
UGAAGGUAUUUCUUAAGGUAAUUUUAUCCAUCAAAGUGGUAUGAAAGGUUAUUGGGCACAUUAUUGUUUGUGCAACUCAAUUUGAAAGUUUUGUAAAUCCUCCAUCAAAAUAAAGAAAUGCAAAGUGGUAGUGCAUUUAGUGAUAUUGAGGUGGGUCAAAUAAAUUUGAUAAUGUCAAAAGUAUGACAAUGAAUUUCUAAUAAAAACUUAUGGAGC